GAUGAACGCUGGCGGCGUGCCUAAUACAUGCAAGUCGAGCGAACAGACGAGGAGCUUGCUCCUCUGACGUUAGCGGCGGACGGGUGAGUAACACGUGGAUAGCCUACCUAUAAUACUGGGAUAACUUCGGGAAACCGGAGCUAAUACCGGAUAAUAUAUUGAACCGCAUGGUUCAAUAGUGAAAGACGGUUUUGCUGUCACUUAUAGAUGGAUCCGCGCCGGAUUAGCUAGUUGGUAAGGUAACGGCUUACCAAGGCAACGAUGCGUAGCCGACCUGAGAGGGUGAUCGGCCACACUGGAACUGAGACACGGUCCAGACUCCUACGGGAGGCAGCAGUAGGGAAUAUUCCGCAAUGGGCGAAAGCCUGACGGAGCAACGCCGCGUGAGUGAUGAAGGUCUUCGGAUCGUAAAACUCUGUUAUUAGGGAAGAACAAAUGUGUAAGUAACUAUGCACGUCUUGACGGUACCUAAUCAGAAAGCCACGGCUAACUACGUG
rnacentral:rRNA from 1 species